GGCUCGGUGGCAGAGUGGUAAUGCAUCCGCUUCUUUUGGCGCAACCGUUGGGAAAGGUUUCUGCGGAGGUCGCCUGUUCGAACCAGGCCCGGGCCA